rnacentral:rRNA from 1 species
UACAGAGGGGGCCAGCGUUAUUCGGAAUUAUUGGGCGUAAAGGGCGCGUAGGCGGCCAUGCGUGUCUUCCGUGAAAUCCCUCGGCUUAACCGAGGACGUGCGGAAGAAACUGCAAGGCUCGGAGUCCGGAAGAGGGGGGCGGAAUUCCGUGGUGUAGCGGUGAAAUGCGCAGAUAUCAGGAAGAACACCAAUGGCGAAGGCAGCUCUCUGGGACGGUACUGACGCUGAGACGCGAAAGCGUGGGGAGCGAACAGG